GACGAACGCUGGCGGCGUGCUUGACACAUGCAAGUCGAACGGUGAAGCGCCUUCCUUUUUGGUGGGUGUGGAUGAGUGGCGAACGGGUGAGUAACACGUGAGUAACCUGCCCCCUUCUUCUGGAUAACCGCAUGAAAGUGUGGCUAAUACGGGAUAUUCUGGGUCUGUCGCAUGAUGGGUCUGGGAAAGAUAUUGUUUCGGUGGGGGAUGGGCUCGCGGCCUAUCAGCUUGUUGGUGGGGUGAUGGCCUACCAAGGCGGUGACGGGUAGCCGGCCUGAGAGGGUGGACGGUCACACUGGGACUGAGACACGGCCCAGACUCCGACGGGAGGCAGCAGGGGGGAAUAUUGCACAAUGGGCGCAAGCCUGAUGCAGCGACGCCGCGUGAGGGAUGGAGGCCUUCGGGUUGUGAACCUCUUUCGCCAGUGAAGCAGGCCUGCCUCGUUUGUGGGUGGGUUGACGGUAGCUGGAUAAGAAGCGCCGGCUAACUACGUG
rnacentral:rRNA from 1 species